AGCGGCGGACGGGUGAGUAACGCGUGGGAACGUGCCCUUUGCUACGGAAUAGUCCCGGGAAACUGGGUUUAAUACCGUAUGUGCCCUCCAUUUUGGUGAUGGUUGGGGAAAGAUUUAUCGGCAAAGGAUCGGCCCGCGUUGGAUUAGGUAGUUGGUGGGGUAAUGGCCUACCAAGCCGACGAUCCAUAGCUGGUUUGAGAGGAUGAUCAGCCACACUGGGACUGAGACACGGCCCAGACUCCUACGGGAGGCAGCAGUGGGGAAUCUUAGACAAUGGGGGCAACCCUGAUCUAGCCAUGCCGCGUGAGUGAUGAAGGCCCUAGGGUUGUAAAGCUCUUUCAGCUGGGAAGAUAAUGACGGUACCAGCAGAAGAAGCCCCGGCUAACUCCGUGCCAGCAGCCGCGGUAAUACGGAGGGGGCUAGCGUUGUUCGGAAUUACUGGGCGUAAAGCGCACGUAGGCGGACUGGAAAGUUGGGGGUGAAAUCCCGGGGCUCAACCUCGGAACUGCCUUCAAAACUAUCAGUCUGGAGUUCGAGAGAGGUGAGUGGAAUUCCGAGUGUAGAGGUGAAAUUCGUAGAUAUUCGGAGGAACACCAGUGG
rnacentral:rRNA from 2 species